rnacentral:rRNA from 1 species
AUGCCGUUCGGACUCUGCAACGCGCCGGCCACGUUCCAGGCCCUCAUGAAUGAUCUGCUGCGGCCAUACCUGCGCCGUUUUGUUCUCGUCUUCUUUGACGACAUCCUCAUUUUCAGCGAGACAUGGGCUGACCAUCUCCGACAUGUGCGCACCGUCUUCACGGUCCUGCACCAGCACCGGCUCUUCGUCAAGCGCUCCAAAUGCGCGUUCGCCGUUGAAUCAAUCGCAUACCUGGGUCACACCAUCUCCGCUGCAGGCGUGGCCAUGGAUCCGGAAAAGGUGCAGGCAGUAGCGGAAUGGCCGCAACCACGCUCGGCGCGCGCGGUUCGGGGCUUUCUCGGCCUUGCGGGGUACUACCGCAAGUUUGUCAAGGACUUUGGCGUGGUUGCCGCGCCCCUGACGGCCCUCCUUCGCAAGGAUGGUUUCUCUUGGUCACCGGAGGCGGCAGCAGCUUUUACCACCCUCAAGACGGCAAUCACCACGGCUCCCGUCCUCGCGUUACCGGAUUUUACACGGCCGUUCAUCGUCGAGUGUGACGCAUCGACGUACGGUUUCGGGGCCGUCCUUCUUCAGGACCACCACCCGGUGGCUUUCUUUAGCCGGCCAGCCGCGCCACGUCACCGUUCCCUGGCAGCGUAUGAACGGGAACUCAUCGGCCUGGUGCUCGCGAUUCGCCAUUGGAGGCCGUACCUAUGGGGGCGUCAAUUUGUGGUAAAAACGGAUCAUUACAGCCUCAAAUUUCUGCUUGACCAGCGUUUGGCCACCAUCCCGCAGCAUCAUUGGGUUGGCAAACUCCUGGGAUUCGACUUUACGGUGGAGUACAAGGCAGGUAGUACCAACACGGUGGCGGAUGCACUUUCCCGCCGUGACACGGAGGAGACGACGAUCAUGGCGGUCUCAGGGCCUCGUUUCGACUUCAUCAAUCGCCUCCGGCAAGCGACGUCCACUGAUCCGGCGCUCGUCACACUGCGGGAGGAUAUCACGGCAGGUGCGCGGCAACAGCCUUGGGCGCUCUCCGACGGCCUCGUUACCUUCAACGGCCGCCUCUACAUUCCGCCGUCAUCCCCGCUACUCCAGGAGAUUCUCAGUGCCGUGCACGAUGAUGGGCAUGAAGGCGUCCUGCGCACAUUGCAUCGUCUUCGCCGCGAUUUCCGCGCACCUAACCUUCGCAAGACAGUGCAGGAGUACAUCCGCACUUGCGGUACUUGCCAGCGGUACAAGUCCGAGCACUUGCACCCUGCUGGGCUGCUCCUGUCGCUGCCGGUACCCACGGGCGUGUGGACUGACAUCGGCAUCGACUUCGUGGAAGCGCUUCCUCGAGUAGGCGGGAAGUCUGUCAUCCUCACCGUGGUGGAUCGCUUCAGCAAGUAUUGCCAUUUUGUGGCGUUAGCCCACCCAUACACGGCAGAGUCAGUGGCACAGGUGUUCUUCGCUGAGGUUGUUCGUCUCCACGGCGUACCACAGUCCAUGGUCUCUGACCGCGACCCCGUCUUCACCUCCGCUUUUUGGCAAGAGCUCAUGCGCCUCACGGGGACAAAGCUGCACAUGACGUCCGCAUUUCACCCGCAGUCGGAUGGGCAAACGGAGGCUGCUAACAAGAUCAUUGUGAUGUAUUUACGGUGUCUUACCGGGGAUCGUCCCAAGCAGUGGCUCCGGUGGCUUCCCUGGGCUGAGUACAUAUACAACACCGCCUACCAGACAGCAACCCAAGAGACUCCGUUCAAGCAUGUGUAUGGCCGUGACCCUCCCACUAUUCUCUCUUACGAGCCCGGCGACACACGGGUGGCUGCAGUGGCCAGGAGCAUGGCUGAGCGCGACGAACUUAUCGAGGACGUCCGCUAUCGUCUACAACAGGCACAGGCGGUCUAUAAGUCCUACUACGACAGACGUCAUAGGGACAUUCGGCAUGAGGUGGGCGAUUGGGUUUGGCUUCGCCUUCGACAGCGCGCCGCGUCCUCUCUCAACUUGCCAACCAGGGGCAAGCUCAAGCCACGAUUCUAUGGGCCGUACCGCAUUUCAGAAGUGAUCAACGACGUGGCAUACCGUCUUGAGCUUCCGGCGCGCUCGCGCCUCCAUGACGUGUUCCACGUGGGCCUCCUCAAGAAGUUCUUCGGCAUUCCUCCAACUACACCGCCGGGAUUGCCUUCGAUCCACAACGGGGCGGCUGUUCCAGAACCAGAGCGCGUGACUCGUGCGCGCCUAGCACGCGGCGUUCGCCAGCUACUCGUCCACUGGAAGGGUGAAGCAGCUUCGUCAGCUACAUGGGAGGAUCUUGACAGUUUCAUCGAGCGCUACCCCGCUUUUCAGCUCAAGGACGAGCUGCUCGUCGAGGGGGGGAGAGAUGUCAUGUGGGGCACGUCUUACAGACAUGGGCCGCGCGGCCAGGAGCAGCCGACGGCCGCAUCAGGCAAGGCGCAGGCUGGACAGGAGUCCUGA